UGGGGCGUCGACAAGCGGUAAGUCACCGGCUUUUGGUGCCGGCAUUCGCAGGUUCGAAUCCUGCCGCCCCAACCA
rnacentral:tRNA from 2 species